rnacentral:rRNA from 1 species
UACGUAGGGGGCAAGCGUUGUCCGGAUUUAUUGGGCGUAAAGAGCGUGUAGGCGGCUAGGUAGGUCCGUUGUGAAAACUCGAGCUCAACCUCGAGACGCCGGUGGAAACCAUCUAGCUAGAGUCCGGAAGAGGAGAGUGGAAUUCCUGGAUGUAGCGGUGAAAUGACGCAGAUAUCAGGAAGAACACCCGUGGCGAAGGCGGCUCUCUGGGACGUGACUGACGCUGAUGCGCGGAAAGCCAGGGGAGCGAACGGG